GCAUUCGUGAUUGUAAGUUCGUGCUUUCGAUUCCCAGAGUGGGUGGUACCUUGUUUUCAAAACGUUUCACAUUGCUCCUUUCACCGACUGACAACUCUUUCAAGGCCAAUGUGUUUUGUGAACUUAUACGCCAUGGAAACUGGGUAACUAGCCCGAUCAGUCCUAGCACUCUACACUGUACUUAUUUAUAAUUUUACUUAUUCCACUCACUGGACCGCGGCCAUACUGGGGCACCACCUUGAAGGGUCAAGCAUAUCGAACCUAGAAUUUAUUUUUAAGUCCAAUAAUUAUUUAUCGAUUUCUUGUGCCAAACCAUUAAAUUAGUGGAGCGUAAAUAAAUCAGCUGCAUUUGUCAAGAAAGUCGAGUGGAUGAAGUCAACACGAACACGUUUUCCGAUUGGAGUCUCUUUACAGCUGAUAUACAAACGAAUGUUGUUUAUGAUAUCACUACAGAUGGAUUGUGGAAAAGAUCUGCAAAAUGUUCUCUCCAUCUAUUCAUUAUUCCAGGAGGAUUUUUAAUAACCUCAUUUCAAUCUUUCAACUUUAAGGGAACCUAUGAUGAUGAAGAUGGUGGUCCAAAAGCUUGCCGCAAUAAACUAUAGAAACUUUUAA